GACGAACGCUGGCGGCGUGCCUAAUACAUGCAAGUCGAGCGAUAAAGAUUGGUGCUUGCACCAAUUUGAAGAGCAGCGCACGGGUGAGUAACGCGUGGGGAAUCUGCCUUUGAGCGGGGGACAACAUUUGGAAACGAAUGCUAAUACCGCAUAACAACUUUAAACAUAAGUUUUAAGUUUGAAAGAUGCAAUUGCAUCACUCAAAGAUGAUCCCGCGUUGUAUUAGCUGGGUGGUGAGGUAAAGGCUCACCUAGGCGAUGAUACAUAGCCGACCUGAGAGGGGGGUCGGCCACCUUGGGACUGAGACACGGCCCAAACGCCCUGGGGAGGCAGCAGUAGGGCAUCUGCGGCAAGCGGUGAGAGUCUUACCGAGAAACGCCGCGUGAGUGUAGAAGGUCUUCGGGUCGUGAAUCUCUGUUUUUAGGGUAGAACGUUGGUGAGAGUGGAAAGCUCAUCAAGUGACGGUAACGACUCAGAAAGGGACGGCUAACUACGUG
rnacentral:rRNA from 1 species